CAUUAGCCCUGAUAGCAGCGGCAUCCUUUUCUUUUAUGUAGGAUAUGAAAAAAUGAGGGAUUUACUUCUAAAUAUGUCGCUUCUAGUUAAAGGAGACUAUAAAGAAAAGAUACAGCGAAUAGCAGGUUCCCGG
rnacentral:sRNA from 1 species